rnacentral:sRNA from 1 species
AGUUCUUGGCAACGCCAUAUCCUCACGGAUGUGUGAAGGCAGAGAUCCGGACACUGGGGAAUGGAAAGAUAAAAAUAAGGUGGAUACUAAUCCUUGCAAGAGGGAAUUGGAUAUACUAUUUGACUGUGCUAGAAAUACCGAUGAUCCGAGCUCAUGCAAGCUAGAGAUGGAUUUGUUAAAGAAAUGUGCAGACAAGAACAAAGAUUACUUUGAUAGGAAAUAGCUAGAGCGAAAAAUAAGAAACUGAAAAAAGAACUUACUUGAAGACAAGUGAAAAGCACAUCUUAUGGAGAACACCUCAAAUAAAUAAAAACAAUUAAAGCGAUUUACUGAAAGAACUUAA